GGGUAUCCCUACAUAGCGGGUGGGACCCACGGCAAAUGGUUCAUCAAGUCUUCAAAAAAGAAUAUAUACGAUUGCAUUGCAUAUACUAACGGAUGCGAUCAUACCAGCACUAAUGCACCGGAUCCCAUUAGAACUCCGCAGUUAAGCGUGCUUGGGCGAGAGUAGUACUAGGAUGGGUGGGUGACCUCCCGGGAAGUCCUCGUGUUGCAUCCCUCUUUUAUGUUUAACC
rnacentral:rRNA from 1 species